rnacentral:rRNA from 1 species
UACGUAGGGGGCAAGCGUUAUCCGGAUUUAUUGGGCGUAAAGCGAGCGCAGACGGUUCGAUAAGUCUGAAGUGAAAGCCCACAGCUCAACUGUGGAAUGGCUUUGGAAACUGUCGAACUUGAGUGCAGUAGAGGUAAGUGGAAUUCCAUGUGUAGCGGUGGAAUGCGUAGAUAUAUGGAAGAACACCAGUGGCGAAGGCGGCUUACUGGACUGCAACUGACGUUGAGGCUCGAAAGUGUGGGGAGCAAACA